AAUCACAUGCCGAUUUGCCUUAUGUUUUCCUGCAAACCCUAAUCGCUGUAAUCUCACUGUUUGUUUCGUCGCUACUUGCCUAUUGCGCGGAAAAGGAAUCAUGCUCGCCGGUCGUUGUCAAUGGUGAGGUUCCGCGAUCUAUAGCCGAAGGCGCAAAGGGACUCGGUGUUCGCAAUCCGAGAUGCAAAGGCGACAAUUUCCGAUUUUUCUUAAUGGAAUCAGCCGAUCAAGGUGGGUGAUCAAGGUGAUGUUUUAGCAACGAGAACGAUCUGAAGGUGGCAAAACAUUACUUUUUCUGAAAUCUAUCGCUUUAAGAACGCUUUCUUCUGCUGCCAAUGAAUACAUCCUUACAUUUGUGGACAUAGUACAGGAUCAGCGCAGUCAGAGAAUAAUGCGUGGAAUAGCUGGAGGCUGAAGAGCGUAAGCACUACAAAAACAUAUUCAAAAAGGUCCGGAUCCUUUGCUCCAUUUUUUAUGGAAGAGGGAAUGAUCAACAACUUAAUUAUAAUCAGAUAGUGACCGUAAUCCGGUCAUAAUUGUUUAUGAUCUCUCCUGAGUUCACCUUUCUAUUUAGAUUAUAGUUUAGAUUAGGGUCAAUGGGACAUCUCUAUCGGAUUACGGUCACGAUCUAGUCACAAUUGAGUUGUGGAUCAUUCCUUGAUCUACUUUUAAAAAAUGGACCAGAGGAUUCUUUCUCA